ACGCCGAAUGGUAAAACUAUAAUAAUUUCAUCAUAACAACAAAAAAGAGUUAUAAUGUAGGAGUUAUGCUAUAAU
rnacentral:sRNA from 12 species